rnacentral:rRNA from 1 species
UACGUAGGGUGCAAGCGUUAAUCGGAAUUACUGGGCGUAAAGCGUGCGCAGGCGGUUCGCUAAGACAGAUGUGAAAUCCCCGGGCUUAACCUGGGAACUGCAUUUGUGACUGGCGGGCUAGAGUAUGGCAGAGGGGGGUAGAAUUCCACGUGUAGCAGUGAAAUGCGUAGAGAUGUGGAGGAAUACCGAUGGCGAAGGCAGCCCCCUGGGCCAAUACUGACGCUCAUGCACGCAAGCGUGGGGAGCAAACAGG